rnacentral:sRNA from 1 species
AAUUUCUGCCCCGACUCUGCGGACUACUGCAGUGGAGCUUGACUCUUAAUGUCUGGCAGUAAGAAAAAGAAAGUCACCAAAGCUGAACGAUUGAAGCUGCUACAAGAGGAGGAGGAGAGACGACUGAAAGAGGAAGAGGAAGCCCGUUUGAAAUAUGAGAAAGAAGAAAUGAAAAGGCUUGAAAUACAGCGAAUUGAGAAAGAAAAAUGGCAUCAACUUGAAGCAAAAGAUCUAGAAAGGAGAAAUGAAGAACUUGAAGAACUUUAUUUAUUAGAGAGGUGUUUUCCUGAAGCAGAGAAAUUGAAACACGAAACUAAAUUGCUUUCUCAGUGGAAGCACUACAUUCAAUGUGAUGGGAGUCCUGAUCCUUCAGUAGCCCAAGAAAUGAACACGUUUAUUAGUUUGUGGAAAGAGAAAACAAAUGAGACUUUUGAGGAAGUGAUUGAGAAGAGUAAAGUAGUGCUAAAUUUAAUUGAGAAAUUGAAAUUUAUUUUAUUGGAAACUCCACCAUGUGAUUUGCAAGAUAAAAAUAUAAUACAGUACCAAGAAUCAAUACUACAACUGCAGGACCUCCUUCAUCUUAAAUUCGGUGUAGCCACAGAAAUACUUCUCAGACAAGCUAGUACUUUGGCAGAUCUGGACAGUGGAAAUAUGGAAAAAGUCAUUAAAGAUGAAAAUGUUACUCUGUAUGUGUGGGCAAACCUCAAGAAGAAUCCAAGGCACAGAAGUGUUAGAUUCUCUGAAACACAAAUUGGAUUUGAGAUUCCAAGGAUAUUAGCAACAAGUGACAUUGCUAUACGACUCCUGCAUACCCACUAUGAUCAUGUUUCUGCACUGCACCCUGUUUCAACACCAUCAAAAGAACACACUUCUGCAGUAACUGAGCUUGUCAAAGAUGAUGUUAAGAAUGUAGAAAAAGCAAUCAGCAAAGAGGUCGAAGAAGAGUCCAAACAACAAGAAAGAGGGUCUCACUUAAUUCAGGAGGAAGAAAUAAAAGUUGAGGAGGAACAAGGUGAUAUUGAAGUGAAAAUGAGUUCUGCUGAGGAAGAAUCUGAAGCCAUAAAAUGUGAACGAGAGAUGAAAGUAUUAAGUGAAACUGUUUCAGCAGCACAGUUGUUGCUGGUAGAGAAUUCUUCUGAAAAGCCAGAUUUCUUUGAAGACAAUGUGGUGGAUUUAUGCCAGUUCACAACUCUGGGUGGAGUAUACCACUUGGAUAUUUUGGAGCUUCCUCCACAGUGUAAACCAGUGAAGGGAUGGAUGAUUGUGGAAAUACUCAAAGAAGGAUUACAGAAAUACACGUAUCCUCCGGAAACUACAGAAGAGUUUGAGACAGAAAAUGCUUUCCCACCUAUAGAGGUCACACUUGAGGUUCAUGAGAAUGUAAUCUUUUUUGAGGAUCCUGUGGUUGUAAGGUAAACAUUGGAGAACUGAUGGCAUCAGCAAUGUAUCCUACAAACCAAAAGAAAGACUUGUAACAUUCAGCCUGGACACCUUUGGCCCUGUUACCUUGAUUCAAGAUGCUCAUAUUAACAUGCCGUACCAGUCAUGGGAACUAAGACCACUUGAUGUAAAUAAAGUACUUUUAACUGUGACUACAGUAUUUACUGAGAUUCAAAUACAAAUUAA